CCUACGGGAGGCAGCAGUGGGGAAUAUUGCACAAUGGGGGAAACCCUGAUGCAGCGACGCCGCGUGAGUGAAGAAGUAUUUCGGUAUGUAAAGCUCUAUCAGCAGGGAAGAAAAUGACGGUACCUGAUUAAGAAGCCCCGGCUAACUACGUGCCAGCAGCCGCGGUCAUACGUAGGGGGCAAGCGUUAUCCGGAUUUACUGGGUGUAAAGGGAGCGGAGACGGCAGCACAAGUCUGGAGUGAAAUGCCGGGGCUUAACCCCGGAACUGCUUUGGAAACUGUGCAGCUAGAGUGCAGGAGAGGGAAGUGGAAUUCCUAGUGUGGCGGUGAAAUGCGUAGAUAUUAGGAGGAACACCAGUGGCGAAGGCGGCUUACUGGACUGUAACUGACGUUGAGGCUCGAAAGCGUGGGGAGCAAACAGGAUUAGAUACCCCUGUAGUC
rnacentral:rRNA from 1 species